rnacentral:rRNA from 1 species
AUGAACAAAAGUUCAAUAACUCCAAUUUCCUGCGAGGAUCAGCUGAUUGCCGAGUUUGGUAACACCUUAAACUGUCAGAUUGAACAACUUCCCAUAAAGUAUUUGGGUCUACCGCUUAGUCUGAAAAAAUUGCGCAAAGAGGACUUUCAGUGCUUGAUUGACAAGAUCAGGAACAAAUUAGGGACAUGGCGAACCAGCUUUCUGUUUCAGAGUGGUCGUUUAAUAUUGGUUCAGGCCGUGCUUUCGGCUAUACCAAUUUUCCACCUCAUGUCGUUGGAUCCACCUCCGUGGGUGUUCAAGGCCAUUGAUAAAAUUAGGAGAGCUUUUCUUUGGAAGGGUACUGAAGUUGUGAAUGGUGGCUAUUGUUUAGUGAGUUGGAAAUAUGUUUGUAGACCGAAGGAGUGUGGUAGCUUGGGCAUACUAGACCUUGAGAUUAUGAAUUCUGCUCUCAAGUUGUGUUGGGCGUGGAAGGCUCGUACUGCUCUGGAUCGCUCUUGGAGCAUCAUGCUCAACCCCCUGGAGUAUAACAAUAGACAGCUUUUCAAUGUUGCGGCUCGAGUGGUUUUGGGAAAUGGGCAGUGA